CAUGAAGCUGGAAUCGCUAGUAAUCGCAGAUCAGAAUGCUGCGGUGAAUACGUUCCCGGGUCUUGUACACACCGCCCGUCACACCAUGGGAGUCGGAAAUGCCCGAAGCCAGUGACCCAACCUUUAAGGAGGGAGCUGUCGAAGGCAGGUCUGGUAACUGGGGUGAAGUCGUAACAAGGUAAC
rnacentral:rRNA from 1 species